rnacentral:rRNA from 1 species
GCGAACGCUGGCGGCAGGCUUAACACAUGCAAGUCGCACGGGCAUCUUCGGAUGUCAGUGGCAGACGGGUGAGUAACACGUGGGAACGUACCCUUCGGUUCGGAAUAACUCAGGGAAACUUGAGCUAAUACCGGAUACGCCCUUUUGGGGAAAGGUUUACUGCCGAAGGAUCGGCCCGCGUCUGAUUAGCUUGUUGGUGGGGUAACGGCCUACCAAGGCGACGAUCAGUAGCUGGUCUGAGAGGAUGAUCAGCCACACUGGGACUGAGACACGGCCCAGACUCCUACGGGAGGAAGCAGUGGGGAAUAUUGGACAAUGGGCGCAAGCCUGAUCCAGCCAUGCCGCGUGAGUGAUGAAGGCCUUAGGGUUGUAAAGCUCUUUUGUCCGGGACGAUAAUGACGGUACCGGAAGAAUAAGCCCCGGCUAACUUCGUG